rnacentral:rRNA from 1 species
GGUAGUCCACGCCGUAAACGAUGUCGACUAGCCGUUGGGAUCCUUGAGAUCUUAGUGGCGCAGCUAACGCGAUAAGUCGACCGCCUGGGGAGUACGGCCGCAAGGUUAAAACUCAAAUGAAUUGACGGGGGCCCGCACAAGCGGUGGAGCAUGUGGUUUAAUUCGAAGCAACGCGAAGAACCUUACCUGGCCUUGACAUGCUGAGAACUUUCCAGAGAUGGAUUGGUGCCUUCGGGAACUCAGACACAGGUGCUGCAUGGCUGUC